rnacentral:rRNA from 1 species
UACGUAGGGUGCAAGCGUUGUCCGGAAUUAUUGGGCGUAAAGAGCUCGUAGGCGGCUUGUCGCGUCGGCUGUGAAAACCCGGAGCUCAACUCCGGGCCUGCAGUCGAUACGGGCAGACUGGAGUUCGGCAGGGGAGACUGGAAUUCUUGGUGUAGCGGUGAAAUGCGCAGAUAUCAGGAGGAACACCGGUGGCGAAGGCGGGCCUCUGGGCAACAACUGACGCUGAGGAGCGAAAGCGUGGGGAGCGAACAGG